rnacentral:rRNA from 1 species
CCAGUGGCGCAAGGGUGAGUAAGGCGACGGUAACCAACCCCGGGAUUGGGCAUAGCCGCGGGAAACUGCGGGUAAUUCCCAGCGACGUCGGCGGAGGGCAUCCUCCGCCGACCAAAGCUCCGGCGUCGUGGGACGGGCUGUCGUGGUAUUAGCUAGUUGGCGGGGUAACGGCCCACCAAGGCGGUGAUGCCUACCGGGCGUGCGAGCGUGGCCCGGCACACUGGGACUGAGACACUGCCCAG